CCUACGGGGGGCAGCAGUGGGGAAUAUUGCACAAUGGGGGAAACCCUGAUGCAGCGACGCCGCGUGAGCGAUGAAGUAUUUCGGUAUGUAAAGCUCUAUCAGCAGGGAAGAAACUGACGGUACCUGACUAAGAAGCACCGGCUAAAUACGUGCCAGCAGCCGCGGUAAUACGUAUGGUGCAAGCGUUAUCCGGAUUUACUGGGUGUAAAGGGAGCGUAGACGGACUUGCAAGUCUGAAGUGAAAGCCCGGGGCUCAACCCCGGGACUGCUUUGGAAACUGUAGGUCUAGAGUGCUGGAGAGGUAAGUGGAAUUCCUAGUGUAGCGGUGAAAUGCGUAGAUAUUAGGAGGAACACCAGUGGCGAAGGCGGCUUACUGGACAGUAACUGACGUUGAGGCUCGAAAGCGUGGGGAGCAAACAGGAUUAGAUACCCUGGUAGUC
rnacentral:rRNA from 1 species